GAAUUAAGAAAAUCAAGAUAAAGCUUCUAACUUUGUCUAAAGCGGAGAAUAACCGUUUUUAAUUCA
rnacentral:tRNA from 1 species